rnacentral:rRNA from 1 species
UUACCUACGGGGGCAGCAGUGGGGAAUAUUGCACAAUGGGGGGAACCCUGAUACAGCGACGCCGCGUGAGUGAAGAAGUAUUUCGGUAUGUAAAGCUCUGUCAGCAGGGAAGAAGAAAGACGGUACCUGACCAAGAAGCCCCGGCUAACUACGUGCCAGCAGCCGCGGUAAUACGUAGGUGGCGAGCGUUGUCCGGAUUUACUGGGUGUAAAGGGCGUGUAGCCGGGCCGGCAAGUCAGAUGUGAAAUCCCAAGGCUCAACCUUGGAACUGCAUUUGAAACUGUUGGUCUUGAGUAUCGGAGAGG